GGCUGUCACGAAUCCCGUCAGGUCCGGGAGGAAGCAGCGGUAAGUGAUCCAGCCUGUGUCGUGGGGUGGCUCCGGCCA
rnacentral:SRP_RNA from 1 species